CGAAGCCUACGGGAGGCAGCAGUGAGGAAUAUUGGUCAAUGGGCGCAAGCCUGAACCAGCCAAGUCGCGUGAGGGAUGACGGUCCUAUGGAUUGUAAACCUCUUUUGUCGGGGAGCAAGGCCCGCCACGUGUGGCGGGAAGGAGAGUACCCGAAGAAAAAGCAUCGGCUAACUCCGUGCCAGCAGCCGCGGUAAUACGGAGGAUGCGAGCGUUAUCCGGAUUUAUUGGGUUUAAAGGGUGCGCAGGCGGCACGGCAAGCCGGCGGUCAAA
rnacentral:rRNA from 1 species